GGUCAGAACGAACGCUGGCGGCGCGUCUUAAGCAUGCAAGUCGAGCGGCAGUAGCAAUACGAGAGCGGCGGACGGGUGAGUAACACGUGGGUAAUCUGCCUACCAGUCGGGGAUAGCCUGUGGAAACACAGGAUAAUACCGGAUGCGAUGCCUUUCACACAAGUGAGAGGUAGGAAAGGGGCCAAGGCCCCGCUGGAAGAUGAGCCCGCGUCCCAUUAGCUAGAUGGCGGGGUAAAGGCCCACCAUGGCGAUGAUGGGUAGCCGGCCUGAGAGGGUGAACGGCCACAUUGGAACUGAGACACGGUCCAGACUCCUACGGAAGGCAGCAGCUAAGAAUCUUCCACAAUGGACGAAAGUCUGAUGGAGCGACGCCGCGUGGGCGAUGAAGGCCGUGAGGUUGUAAAGCCCUUUUCUUGAGGAGGAAUAAGUGGGACAGGGAAUGGUCCUGCGAUGACGUGAAUCAAGGAAUAAGCCCCGGCUAACUACGUGCCAGCCGCCGC
rnacentral:rRNA from 1 species